GUACUGCUGAAGAGUCUCAAAAUAGGACGAAUCAGCUGCCCAGUAC
rfam:Trichobilharzia regenti genome assembly, scaffold: TRE_scaffold0078856